AUGAACGCUGGCGGCGUGCCUAAUACAUGCAAGUAGAACGCUGAAGCUUGGGCUUGCACCGAGCGGAUGAGUUGCGAACGGGUGAGUAACGCGUAGGUAACCUGCCUCUUAGCGGGGGAUAACUAUUGGAAACGAUAGCUAAUACCGCAUAAAAGUCGAUAUCGCAUGAUAUUGAUUUGAAAGGUGCAAAUGCAUCACUAAGAGAUGGACCUGCGUUGUAUUAGCUAGUUGGUGAGGUAACGGCUCACCAAGGCGACGAUACAUAGCCGACCUGAGAGGGUGAUCGGCCACACUGGGACUGAGACACGGCCCAGACUCCUACGGGAGGCAGCAGUAGGGAAUCUUCGGCAAUGGGGGCAACCCUGACCGAGCAACGCCGCGUGAGUGAAGAAGGUUUUCGGAUCGUAAAGCUCUGUUGUAAGAGAAGAACGAGUGUGAGAGUGGAAAGUUCACACUGUGACGGUAACUUACCAGAAAGGGACGGCUAACUACGUGCCAGCAGCCGCGGUAAUACGUAGGUCCCGAGCGUUAUCCGGAUUUAUUGGGCGUAAAGCGAGCGCAGGCGGUUAGAUAAGUCUGAAGUUAAAGGCUGUGGCUUAAC
rnacentral:rRNA from 1 species